UACAGAGGGUGCGAGCGUUGUCCGGAAUCACUGGGCGUAAAGGGCGCGUAGGCGGCCUGAUAAGUAGGGGGGUGAAAUCCUGUGGCUUAACUGCAGGGCUGCCUCCUAGACUGUUAGGCUCGAGCACGGUAGAGGCAGAUGGAAUUCCCGGUGUAGCGGUGGAAUGCGUAGAGAUCGGGAAGAACAUCGGUGGCGAAGGCGGUCUGCUGGGCCGUUCUGACGCUGAGGCGCGACAGCGUGGGGGAGCAAACAGG
rnacentral:rRNA from 1 species